rnacentral:rRNA from 1 species
GACGAACGCUGGCGGCGUGCUUAACACAUGCAAGUCGAACGGAAAGGCCUGCUUUCCCUUGUGGAUUGCGGGUACUCGAGUGGCGAACGGGUGAGUAACACGUGAGUGAUCUGCCCCCAACUUGGGUCUAAGCCUGGGAAACUGGGUCUAAUUCCCGAUAGGACUGCAGGGUGGUGCCUGUGGUGGGACACGAUUUUCUAGUGGUUGGGGAUGAGCUCGCGGCCUAUCAGCGUGGUGGUGGGGUACUGGCCUACCAAGGCGGCGACGGGUAGCCGGCCUGAGGGCGUGGACGGUGACAUUGGGACUGGGACACGGCUCAGACGGCAGGGGGAGGCAGCAGAUGGGGAUAUAGGACAAUGAGCGGAAGCCUGAUGCAGCGAGGGCGCGUGGGGGAUGACGGGCUUCGGGUUGUAAACUCUUGUCGACCGAGAGGAAGCCACCUGGAUGGAAGGGUGGUGACGGUAGUGGUAGAAGAAGCACCGGCUAACUACGUG